GAUGAACGCUGGCGGCGUGCCUAAUACAUGCAAGUAGGACGCAGUUGCGAAUGGGUGAGUAACGCGUAGGUAACUACCUAUUAGAGGGGGGUAACUAUUGGAAACGAUAGCUAAUACCGCAUACUAGUAGAUGGACCUGCGUUGUAUUAGCUAGUAGGUAGGGUAAUGGCCUACCUAGGCACCGAUACAUAGGCGAGCUGGGAGGGUGGUCGGGCACAAUGGGACUGGGGCACGGCCCAGACUCCUACGGGAGGCAGCAGGUGGGAAACUUCGGCAAUGGGGGGAACGCUGGACGAGCAACGCCGCGGGGGUGGAGAAGGUUUUCGGGUCGUAAAGGUCUGUUGUUAAGGAAGCGGUACUUAACGAGAAAGGGACGGCUAACUACGUGCCAGCAGCCGCGGUAAUUC
rnacentral:rRNA from 1 species